CCUUUCAAUGCAGCAGAAUUGGGAUGGUUGAGUAUCUCGCCUUCCAAUUCUGCCUGUAUUCCACCCUUGUUUGUCAUACUAUUAUUUCCUCGGCAGGCUUGCCUGCCGAGUGAAACCAAUUAUAACCUAUUUAAUUUUCAAUCAGCGUCUGAAAAAAAUUAAUAAUUA
rnacentral:misc_RNA from 1 species